GACGAACGCUGGCGGCGUGCUUAACACAUGCAAGUCGAACGGAAAGGCCCUGCUUUUGUGGGGUGCUCGAGUGGCGAACGGGUGAGUAACACGUGAGUAACCUGCCCUUGACUUUGGGAUAACUUCAGGAAACUGGGGCUAAUACCGGAUAGGAGCUCCUGCUGCUUGGUGUGGGUUGGAAAGUUUCGGCGGUUGGGGAUGGACUCGCGGCUUAUCAGCUUGUUGGUGGGGUAGUGGCUUACCAAGGCUUUGACGGGUAGCCGGCCUGAGAGGGUGACCGGCCACAUUGGGACUGAGAUACAGCCCAGACUCCUACGGGAGGCAGCAGUGGGGAAUAUUGCACAAUGGGCGGAAGCCUGAUGCAGCAACGACGCGUGCGGGAUGAAGGCCUUCGGGUUGUAAACCGCUUUCGCCUGUGACGAAGCGUGAGUGACGGUAAUGGGUAAAGAAGCACCGGCUAACUACGUG
rnacentral:rRNA from 1 species